rnacentral:rRNA from 1 species
ACUCCUACGGGAGGCAGCAGUGGGGAAUAUUGCACAAUGGGCGCAAGCCUGAUGCAGCCAUGCCGCGUGUAUGAAGAAGGCCUUCGGGUUGUAAAGUACUUUCAGCAGUGAGGAAGGUGGGUAUGUUAAUAAGCAUGCACUUCAUUUGACGUUAGCUGCAGAAGAAGCACCGGCUAACUCCGUGCCAGCAGCCGCGGUAAUACGGAGGGUGCGAGCGUUAAUCGGAAUUACUGGGCGUAAAGCGCAUGCAGGUGGUUUGUUAAGUCAGAUGUG